AAAGAAAAUGAUGACGACUUUGCUGGGUUUUCCGCACUUUUCUUCUAAACGCUUGCAGAUAUUGAGCUGGGGAUCGUGAUGCACUAAAUUAAUGUCGUGAUGCACUACUGGAUCAAUCGGCAAUCCUCUGCUGACUCCGCUACGCUCCAUUCAAUUCAUUAUGUGUGAGGUACAAGUCAUCCGAGGAACUCCCAGUGCUACUGGAUUAAUGUAUCAUGAUUUGAAACUUGCUGGAUACCUAUAUAGUGACAAAUAUAGAUCAAGUUUGAUUUUUUCUGGUAUAAAAUUGUUGUUCAACCAUGUAAAAUAAGCUGUUUUGAUCAAAGCAUUUCUGUGCGUGUCGAAUGGCAUUCAAAGACGUCACGAGUCUUUCUUUGUAAGGCAGAUCCAAUAUAUUUCAUUCAUAUUCAAUUAUAUACAUUCAUGGUAUCUUUCCACCAUAUAAACAUACAGAGAGAAAA